GAAAUGCGAUAAGUAAUGUGAAUUGCAGAAUUCAGUGAAUCAUCGAAUCUUUGAACGCACCUUGCGCUCCCUGGUAUUCCGGGGAGCAUGCCUGUUUGAGUGUCAUGAAAACCCUCAACCUUAGAUUGGUUAACACCUUUCUUUGGCUUGGAUUUGGACGUUUGCCGAUGAUAAGUCGGCUCGUCUUAAAAGUAAUAGCUGGAUCUGUCUCGCGACAUGGUUUGACUUGGCGUAAUAAGUAUUUCGCUAAGGACAUCUUCGGAUGGCCGCGUUGCAAGACUAAAGACCGCUUUCUAAUCCAUUGAUCUUCGGAUUAAUAUUCUUGACAUCUGGCCUCAAAUCAGGUAGGACUACCCGCUGAACUUAA
rnacentral:rRNA from 2 species